rnacentral:rRNA from 1 species
AGAGUUUGAUCAUGGCUCAGAGUGAACGCUGGCGGUAGGCCUAACACAUGCAAGUCGAACGGCAGCACAGGAGAGCUUGCUCUCUGGGUGGCGAGUGGCGGACGGGUGAGGAAUACAUCGGAAUCUACUCUGUCGUGGGGGAUAACGUAGGGAAACUUACGCUAAUACCGCAUACGACCUACGGGUGAAAGUGGGGGACCGCAAGGCCUCACGCGAUAGAAUGAGCCGAUGUCGGAUUAGCUAGUUGGCGGGGUAAAGGCCCACCAAGGCGACGAUCCGUAGCUGGUCUGAGAGGAUGAUCAGCCACACUGGAACUGAGACAUGGUCCAGACUCCUACGGGAGGCAGCAGUGGGGAAUAUUGGACAAUGGGCGCAAGCCUGAUCCAGCCAUACCGCGUGAGUGAAGAAGGCCCUCGGGUUGUAAAGCUCUUUUGUUGGGAAAGAAAUCCUGUUGGCUAAUACCCGGCAGGGAUGACGGUACCCAAAGAAUAAGCACCGGCUAACUUCGUGCCAGCAGCCGCGGUAAUACGAAGGGUGCAAGCGUUACUCGGAAUUACUGGGCGUAAAGCGUGCGUAGGUGGUGGUUUAGGUCUGUUGUGAAAGCCCUGGGCUCAACCUGGGAAUUGCAGUGGAUACUGGAUCACUAGAGUGUGGUAGAGGGUGGCGGAAUUCCCGGUGUAGCAGUGAAAUGCGUAGAGAUCGGGAGGAACAUCCGU